rnacentral:rRNA from 1 species
UCCUACGGGAGGCAGCAGUGGGGAAUCUUAGACAAUGGGCGCAAGCCUGAUCUAGCCAUGCCGCGUGGGUGAUGAAGGCCUUAGGGUCGUAAAGCCCUUUCGCUGGGGAAGAUAAUGACGGUACCCAGUAAAGAAACCCCGGCUAACUCCGUGCCAGCAGCCGCGGUA